rnacentral:rRNA from 1 species
UACGGAAGGCAGCAGUGGGGAAUAUUGCACAAUGGGCGCAAGCCUGAUGCAGCCAUGCCGCGUGUAUGAAAAAGGCCUUCGGGUUGUAAAGUACUUUCAGUCGUGAGGAAGGUGUUAAGGUUAAUAACCUUAGCAAUUGACGUUAGCGACAGAAGAAGCACCGGCUAACUCCGUGCCAGCAGCCGCGGUAAUACGGAGGGUGCGAGCGUUAAUCGGAAUUACUGGGCGUAAAGGGCACGCAGGCGGUUAAUUAAGUUGGAUGUGAAAUCCCCGGGCUUAACCUGGGAAUGGCAUUCAAGACUGGUUAGCUAGAGUCUUGUAGAGGGGGUAGAAUUCCGAUGUGUAGCGGUGAAAUGCGUAGAGAUGUGGAGGAAUACCGGUGGCGAAGGCGGCCCCUGGACAAAGACUGACGCUCAUGUGCGAAAGCGUGGGGAGCAAAC